rnacentral:rRNA from 1 species
GGCGAACGCUGGCGGCGUGCUUAACACAUGCAAGUCGAGCGGUAAGGCCCUUUCGGGGGUACACGAGCGGCGAACGGGUGAGUAACACGUGGGUGACCUGCCCUCAGCUCUGGGAUAAGCCUGGGAAACCGGGUCUAAUACUGGAUAUGACUCCAUGACGCAUGUUGUGGGGUGGAAAGCCUUGUGCGGCUGAGGAUGGGCCCGCGGCCUAUCAGCUUGUUGGUGGGGUGAGGCCUACCAAGGCGACGACGGGUAGCCGGCCUGAGAGGGCGACCGGCCACACUGGGACUGAGACACGGCCCAGACUCCUACGGGAGGCAGCAGUGGGGAAUUUGCGCAAUGGGCGAAAGCCUGACGCAGCGACGCCGCGUGAGGGAUGACGGCCU